rnacentral:rRNA from 1 species
AACGAACGCUGGCGGCAUGCCUAACACAUGCAAGUCGAACGAGACCUCCGGGUCUACUUGCGCACAGGGGCGUAACGCGGCGGAACCUGCACUUAGGUUCCGGAUAACUCCCUGAAGGGGGUGCUAAUACCGGAAAAUGUCUUCGAACCAACGAUUUAUCGCCUGUGGAUGGGCCCGCGUUGUUUCAGCUAGUUGGUAGGGAAAAAGCCUACCAAGGCGACGAUCCUUAGCGGGUCAGAGAGAAUGGUCAGCCACACUGGGACUGAGAAACGGCCCGGAAUCAUACGCAAGGCGGGCAUGGGGAAUAUUGGCCAACGGGGGAAAGCAUGAAGCAGUACUGGUGCGAGAGCGAUGAAGGUGUUAGGGAUGAAAAGCACUUUUACCCGGGAUGAUAAUGACAGUACCGGGAGAAUAAGCUCCGGCUAACUCCGUG